rnacentral:rRNA from 1 species
AACAAACGCUGGCGGCGUGGCUAAGACAUGCAAGUCGAACGGACUAUUCAAUUGAGUAAUCGAGCGAAUAGUUAGUGGCGUAAGGGUUAGUAACGGACAGGUAACGUACCCCGUGCUUCGGGAUAGCGUCAGUUCGCCUUCGGGCGGACAUCCGAAAGGGGCGGUAAUACCGGAUAAUAUCAUUUGUCGAUAGGCGGAUGAUCAAAGAUUUAUCGGCACGGGAGCGGCCUAUCUCUUAUCAGCUUGUUGGUGAGGUAAUGGCUCACCAAGGCUAUGACGGGUAGCGGGACUGAGAGGUUGGCCCGCAACAUCGGGACUGAGACACUGCCCGGACCUCCACGGAGGGCUGCAGUAACGAAUCUUUCGCAAUGGGCGAAAGCCUGACGCAGCGACGCCGCGUGCGGGAAGAAGUCCUUCGGGAUGUAAACCGCUGUCAGGGGGAAGAAAGUUCGCUUCGGCGGAUUGAUCUAACCCACAGGAAGUCACGGCUAACUUCGUGCCAGCAGCCGCGGUAAGACGAAGGUGACGAGCGUUGUUCGGUAUCACUGGGCUUAAAGAGUGUGUAGGCGGAGAGGUAAGCGUCUUGUGAAAGCCCCCGGCUUAACCGGGGAAUUGCUCGACGAACUGCUUUUCUUGAGGCAAGUAGGGGUGCACGGAACUCUUGGUGGAGUGGUGAAAUGCGUAGAUAUCAAGAGGAACGCCGGUGGAGAAAUCGGUGCACUGGGCUUGUUCUGACGCUGAGACACGAAAGCGUGGGGAGCGAACGGGAUUAGAUACCCCGGUAGUCCACGCCGUAAACGAUGUCUACUAGGUUGUGGAAGUUCUGACGCUUGCACGGCCGAAGCAAAAGUGCUAAGUAGACCGCCUGGGGAGUACGGCCGUAAGGCUA